UAGGGCCACCAGCCAAUGAGCUGAGGAGGAGGGUGGGCUGCAUAGAGCAUCUAGCCAAUGGGCCAGUAGAGAGGGGUUUGGUUACUACCAAUGUGCAAUUUAGUCCACCAGUAUAUCACAACUGCCUUAGGGACAUCAUAAGUCAUCUUAUGGCCAUGCUGAAUAGGUAAUUGAGUACAUUGUCAGAAGAAAUAAAACAAUAUAUCGCUGUUGGUACAGUGAAGAUGUUCAUAGAACCACGUGCCAAGCAGCAACAAUUGUAAGGUUUACCCGUUCCCUGUAUACAACAAAUCUAGCUAGGACUCUCUUCAAAACAGGUUGGACAGGUAGAAA